GUAUUGGAUUGUGGAGUGAUUUCAUCGUUAAUGGAACCUUUUAUGGUUCAUUGAAACAGGAAACUUGAAUUCUAAAUCUCCAUACGAUCAAUUUCAUGGAUUAGAAUGGUUUAUUUAGGAUCAAAUUUACAUGGAGUAUAAGACUUGUAUGGCGAUGCCCGCCGAAUAAUGUGCGCUGUUCUGCCAACGACAAGGCUCUAGGAUUCGUGCGGAUAAAGCCCAUUAUGAUUCGCGCGUGACAGAUGGGCCAAUAUCGUGGCCUGUUGUCCAUGGCCCAUGGGCCUUGGCUGCGCGGCUCUCAGCCGAAUUUCCACCAGCAAGGACAGCAUAUGCCAUAGCUCUAAUCUGAACCUUUUUAUAUCUC
rnacentral:sRNA from 1 species